rnacentral:rRNA from 1 species
AUAGCGUCAAAGCUUAAUUGUUUAAAUGCUCAAUUUCAAAAACAUUAUCUUAAUCCUCCAUCUCUAUUGAGUAAUUCUAUAAUUCUAUAGAAAAUUUUAUGUUAAAACUAGUAACAAGAAGAAGACCUUCUCUCUAAUGUAAGUGUCAAUCAGAAAGGACAAACCACUGAUAUUUAACAUCACUGAACCAAAAACAGUAACUCAUCGAGAAAAUCCUGUUUUUAUUUAUGUUAACCUAACACAAGAGCAUUAUAAGAAAGAUUAAAAGAAAAAGAAGGAACUCGGCAAAUAUUAACCUCGCCUGUUUACCAAAAACAUCGCCUCUUGAAUUUUAUAAGAGGUCCAGCCUGCCCAGUGACUCUGUUCAACGGCCGCGGUAUCCUAACCGUGCGAAGGUAGCGUAAUCACUUGUUCUUUAAAUGUGGACUAGUAUGAAUGGCACUACGAGGGUUAUACUGUCUCCUUUUUCUAAUCAGUGAAACUAAUUUUCCCGUGAAGAAGCGGGAAUAUAACUAUAAGACGAGAAGACCCUAUGGAGCUUUAAACAACCCAGCAAUUACUUCUAAAAUCAUAAAUUUCAGAAUAUUCAUUUUCUAAGUAACAUGUCUGCAAGUUUUUGGUUGGGGUGACCAUGGAGAAUAACAUAACCUCCAUAUUGAAUGAAUUCCCUUCUAAGCUAAAAAUUACCUAUUGAAGCAUCAAUACACUGACAUUUAUUGACCCAAUAUAUUUGAUCAACGAACCAAGUUACCCUAGGGAUAACAGCGCAAUCCACUUCAAGAGCCCCUAUCGACAAGUGGGUUUACGACCUCGAUGUUGGAUCAGGUUAUCCCAGUGGCGCAGCCGCUACUA